GAUGAACGCUGGCGGCGUGCCUAAUACAUGCAAGUCGAGCGAACAGACGAGGAGCUUGCUCCUUUGACGUUAGCGGCGGACGGGUGAGUAACACGUGGAUACCCUACCUAUAAGACUGGGAUAACUUCGGGAAACCGGAGCUAAUACCGGAUAACAUGUUGAACCGCGUGGUUCAACAGUGAAAGACGGUUUUGCUGGCACUUAUAGAUGGAUCCGCGCCGCAUUAGCUGGUUGGUAAGGUAACGGCUUACCAAGGCAACGAUGCGUAGCCGACCUGAGAGGGUGAUCGCCCACACUGGAAGUGAGACAGCGUCCAGACUCCUACGGGAGGCAGCAGUCGGGAACCUUACGCAGUGGGCGAAAGCCUGACGGAGCAACGCGGCGUGAGUGAAGACGGUCUUCGGAUCGUAAAAAUCUGUUACUAGGGAAGAACAAAUGUGUAAGGAACUAUGCACGUCGUGACGGUAACUGAUCAGAAAGCCACGGCUAACUACGUG
rnacentral:rRNA from 1 species